rnacentral:rRNA from 1 species
GAUGAACGCUAGCGACAGGCUUAACACAUGCAAGUCGAGGGGAAACGACAUCGAAAGCUUGCUUUUGAUGGGCGUCGACCGGCGCACGGGUGAGUAACGCGUAACCAACCUGCCCACCACUUGGGGAUAACCUUGCGAAAGUAAGACUAAUACCCAAUGACGUCUCUAGAAGACAUCUGAAAGAGAUGAAAGAUUUAUCGGUGAAGGAUGGGGAUGCGUAUGAUUAGCUUGUUGGCGGGGUAACGGCCCAGCAAGGCGACGAUCAGCAGGCGGGCUGAGCGGUCGGUCCCCCACAUUGGAACUGGGUCACCGUCCAUACUCCUACGGGAGGCAGCAGUGUGGUAUGUUGGUCAGCGGUCGAGAGUCUUAGCCAGCCAAGUAGCGUGCAGGAUGGCGGUCCUAUGUGUUGUAAGCUGCUUUUAUGAGUGAAUAAAUUUAUUCCCGGGAGACUUAUUGCCUGUACCUUAUGAAUAAGCACCGGCUAAUUCCGUG